CCUGAGCAGAGCUGCAGAGAGCAGGUGCUGGUGCUUUCCUGAGGCUUCUGGAGAGGGAUCCUCCGGAUGUGUGAGGGAGGAAGAGCAGGCACUGAGCAAAGAAGACAGGAAGAAGGUGCAGAUGGCAAGCAUGGAGUCAGCAUGCAUCUAUGCCGUGAGAGGACAUCAGAGCUCUGUGCUUGCACAGGUGCAUCGCAUAUCCCAAGCGGUGGGAGCAUUUUGCACAUCUGGAAACAGUCCCUCAGCAUCUGAUUCUGAUUCUGAUGAUUCUGGUGCAGCAGAACACAUCCUGGUAUUGCCCUGAACUCCGCAAUGGUCAUAGGGCUCAGCACUGCUCCCACCCGCAGCUCUCUGGAGGGGUUCCCCCAUUAACUGCAGCUCCUGCAGUGCACAUCAAGGUUUCAAAAAGUGAUUCAUUGCCCAAAAUGGGGAAGGGAUGCAGGGCUGCCUAAUUGCCACCCCGUGUGUAUGGCUGCUGUAAUGCAGCGGUGCUGCAGCUCUGGGAGCCCACAGUGCGCUGCCUUUUCAGCCCAGCCUCACUGUGCAGCUCACAAGGAAACGAAGCUGAGCCCAUCAGCAGAAGACUGAUGAACUGAAGAACAAGCUAACUAACAUUUAUAUCUGAUUUCUUCUGUCCUGCCCAGCAGCUGAAGGUGGACUCUGUCCAGGGUAUUUCUGCACCCACUGCACUAUACACAAAGAUAUGUGUACACAAUGCACACCUGUAUAUAGAGAAACAGACAGACAGACAGGUGCAUGUAGGGAUAUGUACCCCUGCACUCACUUUCAUAUGCACACAUCCACACAGACCUGUGCGGGCACCUUUGCAUGCAUGCAUUUCUAUGUCAGGA